UAGCCGCGGUAUAUUGACCGUGCGAAGGUAGCAUAAUAAUUAGGCCAUUAAUUGUGGUCUUGUAUGAAGGGUUGGACAAGGAAAAUCUUUCUUACUUAUAUUGUUGAACUUAAAUAACCAGUAAAAAUGCUGGUAUAUAGUAAAGGGACGAGAAGACCCUAUUAAGUUUUAUAUUUAUUUUUGUUUCUUGAUUGUUUAUAUCAUAUUAUAUAAUAUUUGGUUGGGGCGACUGGUGUAAAUGAACACAUUAUUGUAGGGAUUUUUAUUUUUUGAUCCAUUAUUAAUGAUUAAUAGAAUAAAUUACUAUAGGGAUAACAGCAUAAUUUAAUUUGAGAGUUCUUAUUGAUGAUUAAGUUUGUGACCUCGAUGUUGGAUUAAGAGUCCUCCCAGGUGUAGGUGUUUGGGUAGGCAGACUGUUCGUCUGUUAAAAUCUUACA
rnacentral:rRNA from 1 species